rnacentral:rRNA from 1 species
UACGGGGGGGGCAAGCGUUGUUCGGAAUUACUGGGCGUAAAGGGCUCGUAGGCGGCCAACUAAGUCAGACGUGAAAUCCCUAGGCUCAACCUAGGAACUGCGUCUGAUACUGGAUGGCUUGAAUCCGGGAGAGGGAUGCAGAAUUCCAGGUGUAGCGGUGAAAUGCGUAGAUAUCUGGAAGAAUACCGGUGGCGAAGGCGGCAUCCUGGACCGGCAUUGACGCUGAGGAGCGAAAGCCAGGGGAGCAAACGGG